UGAUUCAAGUGACUCAACAAUCAUUCUGGGUAUAUCCACUGAAGGGAAUAGCAGCUCAGGCAGUACAGAAAGUGAGUUAGAAGGAAACCGUAGACCACAAAAUCUACUUAAGGAAGCACCCUCUACUCUGGUCUGCCCUGAUGCUAACAAGCCUGCAAGUAGUCCAGACACCUACAGUCCAGCAACCUUGGCCAAGCACUAUAAGACCCUUCAAACUUUGUUUAAAAGAAAAAAUCCCAACCACCAGGAUGUCUCUCAUCUCCUGGAUUUGGAAUUUCUAUCCAGAAGAGCUUUCAUUGAUUCAAAUACCAUUCGUGAAGAGGACAGACACAAGAAGGUUCUAGAAGCAUAUCCUUGUUUCAAGGACAUUGCACAUGACAAAGAAGAUCCUAACAUCUACUUGAAGAAGCACCCUCUCUCCUGCCCAGUCCUGAUUGUGAGUCCAG